CCUACGGGAGGCUGCAGUGAGGAAUAUUGGUCAAUGGGCGCGAGCCUGAACCAGCCAAGUCGCGUGAGGGAAGACGGCCCUACGGGUUGUAAACCUCUUUUGCCGGGGAGCAACGGGCGCCACGUGUGGCGCCACUGAGAGUACCCGGAGAAAAAGCAUCGGCUAACUCCGUGCCAGCAGCCGCGGUAAUACGGAGGAUGCGAGCGUUAUCCGGUUUUAUUGGGUUAAAAGGGUGCGUAGGCGGAGCGUUAAGUCAGUGGUCAAAUUGAGGGGCUCAACCCCUUACCGCCCUUGAAACUGGCGCGCUUGAGUGGAAGAGAAGUAUGCGGAAUGCGUGGUGUAGCGGUGAAAUGCAUAGAUAUCACGCAGAACCCCGAUUGCGAAGGCAGCAUGCCGGCUUCCUACUGACGCUGAAGCACGAAAGCGUGGGGAUCGAACAGGAUUAGAUACCCCUGUAGUC
rnacentral:rRNA from 1 species